rnacentral:rRNA from 1 species
CAGCCGCCACGGUAAUACGUAGGUGGCAAGCGUUGUCCGGAAUUAUUGGGCGUAAAGGGCUCGCAGGCGGUUUCUUAAGUCUGAUGUGAAAGCCCCCGGCUCAACCGGGGAGGGUCAUUGGAGACUGGGAAACUUGAUUGCAGAAGAGGAGAGUGGAAUUCCACGUGUAGCGGUGAAAUGCGUAGAGAUGUGGAGGAACACCAGUGGCGAAGGCGACUCUCUGGUCUGUAACUGACGCUGAGGAGCGAAAGCGUGGGGAGCGAACAGAAUUAGAUACCCCGGUAGUCCCUGUCUCUUAUAC